UUCUUUUUAUUUGCAGUGUUUCUUUUAUUUGCAGCGGCAUUUCUUUUUAUUUGCAGCGUUUCUUUAUGUGGCAGAGUGACUGUGUCAUCAAACUGUUGUAAGGGCUGGCAUCUACAUUCAAAGCACCGCCCUGUCAGGUGGGGCCAGAGGUAGCUCCCCGCCUUUAUAGGGACAGGUGAGGGCAAUUAAUACCUCUUUGUCUGAGGCCUGGUUGUGGUUGCUGUGGCUGUACGGGUAAGGGAGAUUGAAUGAGAAAGAUGUGUUAUAUUGCUUUAUGGGAAACCUAAUGAGGACGUUUGUAUAUUUAGUUGUGGUGUGACUGUCCUGAGGUGAUCCAGAUUGAGCACUGUGGUCCUGUGCGGAAGAGGUAUGUGUUAGUGGAUUGUAGGUUAGUUUGUCGUUGCAGUGAUUUGUGUGCACACGUGGUGGUUCCUAUUUGGGUCUGUGAUAGAAUCUCCCCGCAGUAAGUACCCUGUCCUGCCUAUUGUCGUAGCAAUUUUAUCCUCUGUAUUUCAUGUCAAGCCAUUUGCUAUUUAUAUAUUAAUAGUUUUAAUUAUUUUAAUGUUGUGAAAUAAAAUAGCUUGGACUAAUCUGGCAGUUUCUCCUUUUUGUUUUACAGGUUCGCUGCCAUAGUUCUCUUUUUAAAAUAAAUAUUCUUCGAAUUGAAUGCAUGUCUCCCGCUCUUUUUGAACCCUUUAAAACUUGUGUCCACACUCAGAUGGUUGGUAUCUAGGGCUGAUAAAGCCCUCUUCUGUCUAUUUGCCCCGCUUUGUAACCUGGGUGGUGUUACACUGAACAAUUGUGGUGAUCACGGGGCAGUGCCAUAAUCCUCAUAGAUAGGUGAGAGAGGAUCAUUUGUGUCAGGUGGCCAUGGUAAUUCACUUCUGUUGUGGAUUUUUUUUAUUUGCAGCAGCAUUUCUUUUUGUGGCAGAGUGACUGUGUCAUCAAGCUGUGAACAAUUAUGGUGGGCGGUGCCAUAAUCCUCAUAGAUAGGUGAGAGAGGAUCAUUUGUGUCAGGUGUGGCUUUCUGCUUCUGCUCAGGCUGGUGUUAGCAGUUUGGCGUGGUGGUCGCACGGUCCCUCAAGGAGCAACCUUUUUCUUUCAUACUCGCCAGCUGUCUGGAGCGUGCGUUAGCACUGUCUAUGCGCUACACGGCGUGUCCAGUGACUCCCUGUUUCGCAUCGUCAGCGGUGUCGGCUUAAUUGCCAAGGCGGGAAGGGUGGAGCGUGUCCUUCAAGCCAGUGCGUAAUUUUCCACGCAUUGCGUGGCAUUCAACUCCUAAGGAGCUGUGGUGCCGCUGGUGUGAGUGACUGGCUGGUCCCGGUGGUGGUCGUUCCCUUCACUUCCUUUUGUAUAAUAGCGCACCUGGGUGUCAUAAUUUGUGUGUAGGUGUUCACGCGUGAUGUAUUAUAAGGACUCCCUCCCCUCUCCUUGUCAGCAAGUCAUCUCUGCCGGUGAGCCCUCAGUCUCCUGCACAUUGCACUUUAGAAGCAACCCAAUCAAUGCUUAGAUAAGGGGGCUCAUUUUGUGAUAUAUUUUUUUUUUAUUAUUAAACCCAUAUUGUAUUUUAGAAAACAACCAACUUUUUGUAAUAAACUUUGUAUUUUGUGUUGGAAUCACAUCAAGUGCCGGUGUCUGUCGUACCUGUGUCCCUUGAACAUAAACUGGACUCCUUUCUGAGGGUGCAAUUCCCCCAGUGGCGUUGUCGGUCUGUAAUUAUAGCUUAAACCAGAUUACCCUCGUGCCUUGCCACAUUUUAUUUGCAGCAGCAUUUCUUUUUAGAUCCUUUUUAUCUAAGAAAGAUACCUGUUCUGCUUCCAUCUCUUGUGGAUUGCACUGUGCUUCCAUGGGGCUCAAAGAUCAAGGUAAAACACAUGAUCUUUGAAUUGUCUUAAAUAUUUUAAAUUCUAAAUGGCCAAAAAGUCCUCAGCUUCAAGAGUUAUCAGUGAGUUAGGGCUUGGAGGUAGAACAGGUCAAAUUACUGCAAAGAAACCACACAACUAAGUAAGUAUAACAAGAGAGCAUCCGCCCCAUCUAAGAAGGCUCAGUCCUUGCCACAGUGGCCCAGGGUUCAAAUCCAACCUGUGGCUCUUUCCCACAUGU